GGUCUGCCAAGACCUCCAGUAAUUUUCAAGUGUUUCAUGGGAAAAAUAGUUUGAGAACUGCUGCUGUGUAAUGGUACUGGAGAAAAAGUCCUUCUUUGCCAUUACCUACCCCCGCCCCCCCCCCCCCGGUAAUAUACAGCUCUUAUUUUGUCCUGUUUUUCCUUAAAGCAGAAGUGUUUUCGUAUUUUUUUUUCAUUUACAAAAAGAUAGCUUAAUCAAAGAAAUACAUUAUCAAAUAUUUAUGAUACUGAUAAAAUCAAGAGUUUAAGAACAAGGAUACGUAUUAAAUGACGUAAUCUGGGUAGGCUUGCUGAAACAAAACACUUUUUAAACAGGAAUCAAAAACAGUACAAUGAAGGUGCCUCCUGAUACUAAUCGUUAUGAGUGUGAGUUGCCAUUCUGCAGACCUCACGUUUUUUGCAGGGUUAACAUCGUACCAACGCAAAAUGGCCAUAAUUAAAAGCCAAAGGCCUGAUUUAAAAGGAAUGAUUCUCUCUCCCCCCACCACCUUUGAUCACCUAAUUUUUUUUACUCCCAUUCAAACACAGACAAUACCAGGGCUUAGAAGGAAAGAGGAUACAUAGGAUUUGGGAUUUGUAAACCUUUGACAGCACAAGAGGUUGGUUUCCAAGACUCUUCCACACCACACUUCUGCUUGUCCUGAGCUUAGAAAGCACAAGUCUGAGUGGUUUUCUGUUCGUUCCAUGCUUUCUAAGCAUGAGUCUCAGCAGUUUUGCCCUUGUCCUGUUGCUUUCCCCUGGAAAACUCGCUCUUUAGUGCUAAAUUGGAGCAAAUUUCAAUCUGCAGACAGGUGUAUUAUCGACAAGUGGUAUAAUAGGGUGUGGUGCUGGCUUUGACUGGUGAACUUGCGCAACGCUGUGGAGUGAUGCGUGGAGAAACAAAAAAAAGAUACUUUCAAAGCAGAUUGGUUUAUUUCUUUUCUUUUCUUUAAAGUUGUCUGGAUGAGUCUAGACCCCCUGUAGCUCAUGUAUCUUUUUGGCUUGGUUAUUUAACUUAACAUGCUGCUAUUAAUUUCCACAUCUCGCACAUCAUGACUAUAUAUGACUGUUUUCACCUGGUUCCUAAAGAUAAUGUAAUGAUGGCACCAGGCAAGCCUCCUUGGGGAGAGCAUUCCAUAAGCAGGGAGCCACCACAUUCUCAUGUUGCAUGUAUAGUGCACAUGUAUAGUGUAAAACGCACACAAACUCUCAGGCUGCAGUCCUAACUUCCCUUUAUCUGGGAGUGAGCCCCAUUGAAUUCAGUAGAACUAACUUCUGAGUGGCUAGGAUUGCAAUUUAAGGCACUAUGUGGCACAUAUCCUGCCAUUUCUGUGAAACCUCCAAUGAGGUUAAUUCUGAUCUGCUCAUAACAUGUUUACACAGGGCAGCUAGUUUUCUAGGAUAUCUAUAUCCCCAAACAACAAACUUUGCUAUUUAAAUAGAUGCAGGCUUGUCUGUUGGAGAAUAAAUGAAUACAGCAAGGAGAGAAGGACCUUCAGUACAAUGUGGUUGGGGAAAAGGCGACGAUAAGAGUCUUUAUGCAAGAAGGGUAUUGAAAGUAUAUAUGUACCUUGUUUUCACUGGGGAAACACUGAAGCAUAUGGAAUACCAGUGGUUUUGACCUGAAAUAGCCGUGUGAAAAGCACUUGUAAAGUACUUAAUACUGAAGUUAAUGUUGGAGUAAAUUACUUCUGUUAGACUGUGUGUGUAAAUGUGCUCCCUUUUACAACCAUCCUGUUUGCUGUAGAUAAGUUGACCUUUAUUAAGCCUUAACCACUCUUAUUCAUAUAAACUGUAGAGAGGUAAUUCAAUUAUGUGUUGGUAGAUAUGGAAGGAGAACUGACAAGUUAUAUUUUGAGCUGUUAAUAUAUUACAAGUGGAGUUUGAUAUGGCAGUCCUCUGGAUGGGGUCGAUAAUGUUUAAGAAUGAGGGCCACACAGUCUUACAGAACUUCUCCCCAGAGAGAUUCAUCUGACAUCUGCCCUUACAACCUUUUUGGGAACACAAAGUCCUCUUCUUUCCCCUCUCAAGUUUUUUAGGUACAACUUUCUUUUUUCUCUGCUUCUUUUUUGAUAGUGCAUUGGUUUAUUUUGCUUGUAUUUGCAUUUUAUUUAUUUUUUAUUCAUAUAAACCGUCUUGGGAAUAUGAUUGAAGGUAAAAAAAUACUUAUAAAUCAGAGGUGGGGAACUUUCCUUUCAGCCCAAGGGCUGUGUUCCCUCAUGGGCAACAUUCCAGGACACACAUGAGAGUGGCUUUUGCCAGGUCAGAGGAAGAAAGAUGGUGGGAAAAUGGACAUCGGUUUCUUUUACCUUUGUACGUUAAGCGACCUUCCAGCAGAGAUUUCACACAUAACACGGAUCUCUCCAUCCACACAAGCAAAAGGCAGUUCAAGGAUACAUUCUAGUCUGGGAAAAGCUUUUGAGAAGGGCACAGAGAAGGGCUGGUGGGGGAUGUGGCCUGAGGUGGAGCGUGGCCUUAGGAAGAGUCCUGAUCACUGGAGAAAGAGAAAGGCCUGGAAGGUCCGCCAUGCACACUGCGAAUCAAUCAAUCAAUACCUAUUGAGUUCAGCUCCUGCCAUGCUGGAUAAUCUAAGAGUCUAGUACAGGUAUUGCUGUACUACAAGUACCACAAUCCCUGGCCAUGGGUAGUGUUGCUGGGACUGAUGGGAGCUGUAGUUCAGCAACAUCUGGAGGGCCCAAUGUUCCCCACGUCUGGUCUUCUAUAUGAGGAGGGUAUCCUGUGGGGUACUGAAAAAUUGAGGCUAGCAUCAAAGGGGUGACUAUUUUGGCUCCAAGACUUUGCAUCCAAUUUGUUCAUGCAUUAAUUGAAUCUCCAUGUUCCAUAGCUCCCUGUUUCAUGUCGCAAUCCUCGCUGUGAAUCUGGAACAGAAACCUUAUGUGGCCAAAGGUCUAGAGUCUUCAUUGUGAAUGUAGCUCUUAAGAUGUGGCUUCACAUCCCUGUUGUGCUAUAAUAUUCCUAGAUGGCCAGCUGGGCAAGUUGUGACUUCUUCUCAGUCCCAUCUAUUGUGACUCUAAAUCACAGAGCUGAACUCCUUGGAGGAAAGGUGAAGUGCAGGCUUAAAUGAACAAGCAAAUAAAUAUAUUGGGUAUGUUUUAAAUUGCUUCCACAGGAAAAUAUCAAGUAAGCCCAGCGUUCUCGAAGGAUAGUCACUGAGUAUUAGUGCUAUGAUACUGCAGAAGCAGCUGGCUUCAUCCAAUUCCUGGCAUGCCAGUUGUCUUGGCUGUUAUACUUAGCAGAUGGGUAAGACUUGAAAGAUUGAAGAUUAUUGGUUUCCACGUCAAGGGCCAAAUGUUGCAUAGGGAGUAAAUUAUAAUUCACUUCUGAGAAGAAAGGCUUAAGUAAAAGCAUUGCAGAAUUGUAGCCAUUCAUUUUCUGGUGCAGAAUGCACGCCAUUUCAGAUUUCGAUAGACUAGGUGACAGCGAAUUACUUGCCUCUUUUGAAAUGCUUUGUAAUGCAGUACCGGAGCCCAUUUAAUGAGAUUGAAAGCAAUUGCUUCAGAUUAAUGGCUCUGAAAGCAGCCAGAAUCUUUUGGGUGGGAAUGGGAGAGAAGUAUGUAUCUCAUGUCCAACCAGCGAAGAACCUGGUUUUUCAUAGCCUCUCGCCAUGCUUUUUUUCAGCUGGAACUCAGUUCCGGCACCUCUCAGGUAGGCGCCAUUGCCAUUAUAAGAGAACAAGGGAGGCGUUUGUGGUGAGUUCCGGCACCUCUUUUUCUAGAAAAAUAGCACUGCUGUGAACCAAGCAGUUCCCACAACUAUGGGGAACUGGGACAAGGAGACUGGAUGUAGUUCCUAAAUCCUGUUGUUGUUGUUGUUUAGUCGUUUAGUCGUGUCCGACUUUUCGUGACCCCAUGGACCAGAGCACGCCAGGCACUCCUGUCUUCCACUGCCUCCCGCAGUUUGGUCAAACUCAACUAAAGCCUACACUCAACUAGUUCCCAGUGUAAUUAGAAUGCAGGUGCAGCUCCAAAAACGGCAGUCUCUUUCAGCCUUAGAGUCAAGGGACCACAGUAGCCCCUGCCGUGUGUUCAGCUCCUUAUGAUUCCAGUGGAAUUAGGGGAAGGGCUACAGCUGAGGGGCACAGCAUCUGCUUUGCAUGCAGAAGGUCCCAAGUUCAAUCCUCAACAUUUUCAGGUAGGGAUGAUAGAGACUUCCUCUGUGAACUCCUGGAGAGUCAAUGCCAGUCGGUGUAGAUAGUACUGAACUAGAUGGAACAAUGGUCUGAUUCUGUAUAAGGCAGCUUCCUAUGUUGGUGUGAGGUGGAGAGCGGGACCAUGCUCACUGGCCCUGCCCACCUCCAUUGCGUCCCCCUCCAUUGUGUCCCUCUUGCCACAUUGUAAUUCACUGAGUGAAUUUCUAUUGUUUCCCAAUAAACACAACACAAAACACUAAUAACUUCUGAAACAGAGAGCCUGCUCUAUGCCUGGAGGCUCCCUGUGUGACGUGGGACCUUGAGCCCUAAUGAGCAAUGUGGCAACAGGGCCCCUCACUCUUGAGAACUGCAAUGGGCCUUUUGCCGUUAAUGGCAUCCAGAAUGCCAGUGUGCUAGCACUACCUUUGAAGGCUCUUGUUGCAGUUUUGGAGUUCCUUUUCUUGCAUCAUCUGGAAGGCUGUAACAUUUCUCCCUUUCCUUGCAGAGCAUUUCACCAACAGAAAGGCUGGGUGAGGAGUCAUCUCUUACUUCCUGAGUCCUUCUCCUUGCCUCUCUUAAAUCGCCCAGUUUCCAAGACUGCUACUGGCUUUACUCCAAAGCAAGAGAUCUGGGUGUGUUUUUUUAGGCCCUUGCAUCCUCAGUCACUCGCAGCUGACUCCUUCUCUUCCAGCUGGCAUGGGAAGAAACUCAAGAUCUGUUUUGCAGCUCUUAAGAUUGCUUCCCUUUCCAAAACUGAGUUAUUGAAAGAAGCAGCUCACAUGUAACUCUUCUUUCUCCCCCUCCAUUCUCAAAAAGACAGAACAUGCUCUUUUGAAUGUUAUGUUACUUGGUAGAACACCGCGUUUUGGUAGACCAGAGUCACUGGUGCUUCCUGCCAGAACCAGGACAUUCAUUUGUACCUCCUUUACGGAGUAUACAGGGACAGGUGUUCUCCAUUCUGGCACUCAGUGUUGGCAUAUGAGCACCAGGCCCACUAAUUAAUGGCUUUUCAUCAUCAGGAAAAACCCUGACCUUUCCAUGAAGCUUUCCUGCGCUUGCUUUGAAUGGCUGUGUGUUGUUUUUAAACUAUGGCAUGUUUAGCACUCGAGCGAAAAAGGCCUGUGAUUCUAAUCCCAGUGGGGCAGCCACUGAAUGGGAGCUAUCCUUCCUGCCCCGUGAUUGCGGCGCCUCAAAUGAAACCCAAGUGUGCUGUGUCCUGCGAUCCAUGUCAAAUGCACAUUGCGAUAAUCUUACCCUACCUUUUGAGUUCCCCAAAGCAUCUCUCCCAAAUUAUGCGUCGUGACCUCCGUUGCAAUGUAUUAUAAUGUGGCCAGUUAAGCUCAUAAUAAGGUACGGCAGUUGUGAGUUGUAAAUUGUGUGCUGUUUGUAGUCAGCACAUUAAACGCUAGCCGCUCACUCUGCCUACGACAGUGUGUUCAUUGGGGAACAGAAAUAGCACAGGGGAAGUGAUAAACAAAGAGAUUUUACUGGUUUGAUUUACCUUUGCACCAUUUACCCUAAGGUGAGAAAGUCCUAUUAGCAUUGGAAAUAGCACAAUAGUACACUGAAACUGCAAGGCUGUGUUUAUUUUUUCCCACUGUACUGAGCGUGGUAGUUCCUUACUUGUCUCCAUCAAGGAGGAUUACAGGCACUGUUCAAUUAUAAAUGAUACAUGCAAUGUUCUGCCCAAUCUUUCCUGAGAAUCUUUUUCUUUUCUUUUCGAAUGCUAAAAGCUGUGCUCUUGUGGAUGGCUAGAUGGUUGCAGUUCCACCUUUGAUCAGAUUUGCUGAGGAAGGACUAACGCUCAGAGUAUGAAUGAUCUUUUUAUGUGCGAUGGCUACUGCAUAUGUCAAAUGUGCAGUUGGCUCCUUGUAGUGAUGAGUGAAUAUGAAACAAGUAAUGGAUCAAGAAGAAGAAAAGCUUUGUGUUAUAAUAGUUUUUUAAUGUAUUCUUUAUUGAACCGGGGGGGGGGGGGAUCCCAGCUGCCUUCUCCACACAAGCUCUCUCAGAACUGGAGAUGGAUGGAUCAGUCUGUUUCCAGUCUGUGUCAGUUUUCCACAUGUGUUUAUUCAUAAGUCUGUUCUGCAAUAAUUUUCAAAACUUUUCAAAAAGUGAGUACAGUACGAAAAUUAGUAUUUAAAGAUGCAUUCUAAAAUGUGUAUUUUAUCACAAAAUGCAUAAUUAAAUACCUAUGGUAUUGUUAUUAUAUUUAUUUAUAGCCCACCUUUUCCUCAAACUGGGACUCAAGGCAGCUUACAGAUACAAAUACAAACCACAGAUAAAAUACAGAAAAACUAAAAACUUAUAGCAGAUCAUCAUUAAAAAGUAAUUAAACCCAUAUAGAAUUU